rnacentral:pre_miRNA from 1 species
UGAGGUAGUUGCUAAAUGUUGUGGUGAUUACGAGGAUUUCCCGGCCUUUACUCCUACCUUACC